CCAAGGCGGUUCCCGAUGCAAUGUCCGAUGCCGAGGCGGUGCCCGAUGCCGAGGCGGUGCCCGAUGCGGUGCCAGAGACGGUGCCAGAGACGGUUCCCGAUGUAAUGCCCGAGACCGAUGCUGUUCCGCAGGUCGAGGCGGUGCCCGAGGCUGUGCCCGAUGCCGAAGCGGUGCCCGAUGCUGUUCCGGAGGCCGAGGCGGUGCCCGAUGCGCAGGCCGAGGUCGUUCCCGAGGCGGUGUCCUUGUCCAAGGCCGUUCCCGAGGCGGUGCCCGAUGCCGAGGUCGUUCCCGAGGCGGUGUCCUUGUCCGAUGCCAUUCCCGAGGCAGUGCCCGAUGCUGUUCCGGAGGCCGAGGCGGGGCCCGAGAUGGUUCUGGAGGCGAUACCCGUGUCCAAGGCCGUUCCCGAGGCGGUGCCCUUGUCUGAGGCCGUUCCCGAUGCCGUUCCCAAUGCCGUGACCUGGCCAUCGCCACAGCCUGCUCCUUACUGGCUCCCCGAUUGGCAGGUUCCGUUCGGGCCACUCAAAUGGCGAAUUCCUCCCUGGCCGUCUGCACAACGAGAAUGGACUGAUCCACCGUGGCCACCUGAACUGCCUGGCCCCUCGUGGUCCCCUGAACUUUCGGGUCCACCGUGGCCACCUGAACUGCCUGGUCCCUCGUGGUCCCCUGAACUUUCGGGUCCACCAUGGCCCCCUGAUCUGACCGAGCCACCUGGGCUACCA
ensembl:lncRNA